ensembl:lincRNA
GCGUGGUGAAAGCAGCUCUCGUGUGUCUCAGGUUUGGGAACCUCUGGCCUGGACCCCACAGGACUGAAAGAUGGCUCCCUCAAGACCUGAUCCUGACAGUCGAUCUGGGUGUGUGUUAGCCAAGACUGCUGACGGAAACAGGGUUCCCUUCCCUGCAGGGGUUAAGUGAGGUAUCCCUGAAUCUGCUGGGGCAGCAGAGGGCAAGGUGGCAGGUGCAAUGGUGCCUUCUUAGGGUUUGAAGAAGCAGCACCUGAGGCUCAGACAGGCCUGACCUCCUUCCUGUGCCCCUGCCCCGAACACCUUCUUCCCAACUCACAGCUCCCUCUGCCACCCUCCCAGGUGAUGGGCAAGCCGAGCAGGGAAUUACCAAACUUGGAAUAGAAGUGACACUUGGGCAUCCUGGAGACGACGAACCGGUGCAGGAGUCUGCGGUGGUCGCCCUUCCUACAGAGCCCCCACAGCCAGGGCUUGCUCACGCCUACAGACCGGAGCCCUGCUGGGAAACCCGCCUGCCCACAGCGGGGCCCAGUCCUCCCCCAGGUGUUCUCCGAGGGGUGCGGGGCUCGCCCCGGCCUGCAUCCCUUCACCGGGAUCCUGGAAGGGGAUGGACCAGGGGCCUUGCAGAGCAAGCUGAAGUCUUACCAGCCUGGGAAAUAAGUGACUCAGAAUCCACAGAAGAGAGAGCCAGCGGGAAGGUCUGCUCUCACAGAGCUGAGCAGAGGCCUGGGAAGAAGGCUGGAGGAGGGCACUGGCCCCCACACUCAGUGUCCAUUCCCUGGAAAGGCAGGAGCCCGGUGCCUCUGCACAUGGCCACAUCCUGCUCGAAAGCAAAGGUGAACUUCCAGGGCCCCUCAAUGACCUCCUGCGUCUUCCACCUCCAUCGGGGCUUUGGAAAGCCUCUGGAGCCCUGCAAUUGGGUCCUGCAUAGUGUCAGCCCUUAAGGGGCCAGGGCCUGAGGCUGCCCUGCACCCCAGGUGGCUGCCUGGGGCUCUCUAGCUGGGCCUCGAGGAGGGGCUCCCAGCCAUGCAGGUGUGGACGCUCCAGGGCCACACGCCCCCACACUGUAUACACAAGUCCCACUGAACACCCCCACAUCGCACAGUAUGUACAAAUCCCUCUCAGGUGCAAAGACCCACACCUGCUUAUCUCUGUGUGCCACCAAACACAGACUAUGCAGACACAAAUCAAUAAACUUGCUUCAUUCUCAGUGAGGACACAGCCACAGACCAGCAAAGUGUUGCACAAAAGCGGUCACAGCGCGGCUGCUCCCCUUCUGCCAGAGCGCGGGGGCUUGGGAUGGGAAGAGAGGGAGGCUGCUCCCCACUUUGCCUUCAGGACCCAAUCACUCCUUCCUCUGGGACCUCUGCUGCCCUUUUUCUGGCCAAGUGACAAGCCCCAGUGAGCUCGUCCUGAGAGAGAGAGACAGAAAGGACUGGAGGCUGGAGGACGCUGAAACAGUUGGAUGAAUAGUGCUUUGUUUCCCUCACACACAAUUGCAAGCAUGGCUGGAGGGUGGAACCAACCAGGGCCCCUGCUUCCCAGCCAGGAUCCCACUGGGCCAUCCGAGUCCUGCGGUAACCCCUGAGAAAGGGCUUUGUAUAUGAGAUCCUUGUGCAAAUGUUGCUUUAUUAUUAUUACACCGCCCCUGCCUGCGGGGCUGGGGACAUCUGAAAAUGCUUUCAGAGGAGCAUUUUUGAGCUCUAAUUAGACCAGGGUUUCUCCUCCCCCUGCUCUGGCCCUGAACUGCCGUUGCCUCUCAGGGAGCUGCCGUUUCCAGAGCUGCAUGGGCCUUUGAUGCUCACAGAAGCAGAACGCCAGUAGCCUCCUUCCUGAGCACCCAGGCCAGCCGCAGAGGUGGGCAGCGCCCCGCGCAGGCUGGUGCCUCGGCCUGCAGAUGUGAACCAACAAAGCCUGCUGGCCUUGUUGCCUGUGGCUGCUGCACCUAGAUUUGUUGUUCUUUUGAACUCCAGAUCAGAAAAGAAAACAGCAGGAGCUGUAGAUACCUGGAGCCAAGGCGGGGUGGGUGGGGGAAAGGAUCCAAGAGUUGCCUAAAGCCUGGGCCACCUUUCACUGUACUAGGAGCUCUGGAGCUGUCUGGGCAGUGGCUGACUCCCAUCCUGGCGAGUGAGUUGGGGGGGAUAUUCAGAAUUCAUCAGUAAGAGUCAUGGGAAGGAGGUUUAGGCAGAAAUUCAAAAGUACACACUCAAACAGAACACGGGCCCUAAAGAGAGAGAGAGGUGACAUAAGCCAGGUCUGGAUUUUUAAAAGGGUUUUGGGGGUUCUGUUCUUCUCUUUUCUUUUCCUGACAGGCUCUCACUAUGCAGUUCAGGCUGGCCUUGAACUCACUAUGGAGCCCAGGCUGGCUUUGAGCUCAAGGUGCUCCUCCUCCUCAGCCUCCAGAAUGCUGAGUGCGCUGGGAUUACUGGCCUGAGCUUGCGGGUCGUUUUCAAGAUGGGUGUAUUCCAGCUGUCUGUCAGGUUACCCAUUCAGGGACUCUGUGGGAAUGUAAACCAUUUACAUGUGUUUGAAGCUGAGAUAAAAUGCCUGAGAAUAUUGUUGCUUUGGGGGGGGGUGCAAUUUAUCUGUUGGAAGGACAGGUCCAGAGCCCAAUUUACAGGCUUACUGUGUCUUGAAGACCUUUAGGAAUUUUUGGAGUAAGUUUCCUAGAAGAGAAAAAUAAACUUGAAUAUCCUGAAGCUGCAGUUUUUCUUAAAAGUACAUUUGAAAAAUCCUGAUUUCUUUGUCUCCUUUCUGCCUUUUUAAAAAAUUUCUUCUAUCUCAUCUCAUUUCCCCUCCUAAGACUUUGAUUCUACAUCUGCUUCAGGCUGAGGAGGGGCACUGAUUUUCUCUCACCAGGGGUCAAAAGUAUCACCUUAAGUGAUCUAAAGGAGAUACAGAAACACUGGGUUCCAUAUUUUGAAGAACCUUCAUAUUCUGAUAGUUUGUUUUGUUUUUGUUUUUGUUGAGACAGGAUCUUGCUGUGCAAUUCAAACUGGCCUUGAACUCAUUAGGAACCUAGGCUGGUUUGGAACUCAUUUGAGAUCCUCCUGCUUCAGCCUCAGCAAGCACCACUACACCUUUUUUUUUUUUUCUGCUGCUGGGAAUCAAACUGGGAACCUUGCAAGUGCAAGGCAAGCGAGGGCACCAUUGAGCUAAAUCCCCAGCCUUUGUUGUACUAUCUUGCUGGGUGUUUAGUCCAAAUCGAACUAAGACCUGCAUUAAAAUGUAUGUGUAUCUAAGGGCUGGGGAUAUAGUUCAGUGGUGCCACACCCACCUGGCAAGCGCAAGGUCCUGAGUCCAAUCCCCAGUACCGCGCACACAAACAUACACACACACACACACACACACACACAAAUAUAUAUAUAUAGACAUUUUUUCAAGAUUGUUCAGGCUCCUCAAGCCUUACUUUUGGGGCCAUGUGUACAAAUUCUUACCACCUCUAGUUGUUUGUACAUUUGUUGUUUGUUUCUACCAGUUGUGUCAUCUGCCAGAAUGGGUCAUAGUCUUUGCCUGACCAUGUGACUUCUCUUGGAAGCGUGGAGGGCGUUCCCCUCUUUAGUGAUCCGCCUUUGGCACAGUGUAUACUCGUUGACUCUGGUCUUCUGGAAUCCAACAGUCUGCCUACUCAGGAGAUUGGGUGACUCACCAAAUGUUUAGAAUCCUUUUAGAGGGUACCCAUCAUCUCCUGGGUCCUGGAUGAUCAUAUAGGUCAAGGGCCAAAAUAUUGACUGUCCUCUUAGCCAAGUUACUUUAUUUAGCUUUGGUCAACAAGCUUCAGUUUUUGAACACCAAGAAGGUCAGUUACACUAGUACUGAAAUGGGAGCAGUAGGUUUAACUAUUAUAAUCUUAUCUGGACAUUGACCACUUAGAAAUAUAAGGUAUGGCCG